rfam:Cucumis sativus cultivar 9930 chromosome 2, whole genome shotgun sequence.
AUCCCAGUAAAACCUCUUUGUGUUUUUCUGAUUCAUGGGAGGCAGAAAUUACAUGGUUAUUCGCUGAUAGCAUAUCUUCUCCUUGAAAAGGGUCUGCUUUUAGUAAAUAGCCGUACAUUU